UCCCCGUUACCGGGGCAGUCUGGCUAGAAAAAUUCAACUAACCAUAAGGGUUGCGCUCGUUGAUGGACUUAACCAAACAUCUCACGACACGAGCUGACGACGGCCAUGCAACACCUGUCACUGAGUUCCGGCUUACAAUACGCAAAUAAAGAUUUGUGUACUAUAAGCCGGCACUCACUGCUUUCGCAGUAAUUCUCAGGAUGUCAAGCCUUGGUAAGGUUCUUCGCUUAACAUCGAAUUAAACAACACGCUCCACCGCUUGUGCGGGUCCCCGUCAAUUCCUUUGAGUUUUAGUCUUGCGACCGUACUCCCCAGGCGGGAUGCUUAACGCGUUAGCUUCGCAACAAACCGGGUCGAUACGGCUUACUGCUAGCAUCCAUAGUUUACGGCGUGGACUAC
rnacentral:misc_RNA from 1 species